rnacentral:rRNA from 1 species
UACGUAGGGUGCGAGCGUUAUUCGGAUUUAUUGGGCGUAAAGGGUUCGUAGGCGGUGAAGUAAGUUUGAUGUGAAAUCUCCAGGCUCAACCUGGAAACUGCAUUGGAUACUGCUUCACUUGAGUAUUGGAGAGGUAAGCGGAAUUCCUGGUGUAGCGGUGGAAUGCGUAGAUAUCAGGAGGAACACCGAUGGCGAAGGCAGCUUACUGGACAAUUACUGACGCUGAGGAACGAAAGCUAGGUUAGCAAACAGG